CACAACCACAACUACAACACCAACAGUCUGAUCUGAAAAGAACACAAUGAUCAUAUUCUUCUGUUUAAUGUGGAAAGUGAUGCUGGUUUCAGGUUCUUCAGUCCAACAGAAUCCACCUCAUAUUUACAAGAAACAAGGAGAAAAAGCUGAAAUCACCUGUUCACAUCAAAUCGACAGCUACAAUGUGAUCCUCUGGUACAGACGAUCAAACAACAAUGAGCUGAAGCUUCUGGGAUAUAUGUUUAUGGACAGUCAAAACCCUGAACCUGGAGUGACUGUGAAGAUGAUUGGAAGUGCAAAUAAAGGUGGCAGUAUAUCUGUACUGAGCAGCAGGAGGAUGAUGCAUGAAGACACCACCCACCCAACAUUUACAUCCAACAACCAACGACACAGUUUAUCACAAUAAACACACAACCACAACUACAAC